rnacentral:rRNA from 1 species
GAAUCGCUAGUAAUCGCAGAUCAGAAUGCUGCGGUGAAUACGUUCCCGGGUCUUGUACACACCGCCCGUCACACCAUGGGAGUUGGAAAUGCCCGAAGUCAGUGACCGAACCGAAAGGAAGGAGCUGCCGAAGGUGGAGCCGAUGACUGGGGUGAAGUCGUAACAAGGUACC